AUUGAACGCUGGCGGCAGGCCUAACACAUGCAAGUCGAGCGAAUGAGGGAAGCUUGCUUCCCGAUUUAGCGGCGGACGGGUGAGUAAUGCCUAGGAAUCUGCCUAUUAGUGGGGGAUAACGUUCCGAAAGGAACGCUAAUACCGCAUACGUCCUACGGGAGAAAGUGGGGGAUCUUCGGACCUCACGCUAAUAGAUGAGCCUAGGUCGGAUUAGCUAGUUGGUGGGGUAACGGCUCACCAAGGCGACGAUCCGUAGCUGGUCUGAGAGGAUGAUCAGCCACACUGGAACUGAGACACGGUCCAGACUCCUACGGGAGGCAGCAGUGGGGAAUAUUGGACAAUGGGCGAAAGCCUGAUCCAGCCAUGCCGCGUGUGUGAAGAAGGUCUUCGGAUUGUAAAGCACUUUAAGUUGGGAGGAAGGGUUGUAAGCUAAUAUCUUGCAGCUUUGACGUUACCAACAGAAUAAGCACCGGCUAACUCUGUGCCAGCCGCCGCGGUAACAC
rnacentral:rRNA from 1 species